rnacentral:rRNA from 1 species
UAGGGAAUUUUCCACAAUGGGCGAAAGCCUGAUGGAGCAACGCCGCGUGAACGAUGAAGGUCUUCGGAUUGUAAAGUUCUGUUGUCAGGGACGAAUAAGUACCGUUCGAACAGGGCGGUACCUUGACGGUACCUGACGAGAAAGCCCCGGCUAACUACGUGCCAGCAGCCGCGGUAAUACGUAGGGGGCAAGCGUUGUCCGGAAUUAUUGGGCGUAAAGCGCGCGCAGGCGGUCGGGUAAGUCUGAUGUUAAAGCCCGGGGCUCAACCCCGGUUCGCAUUGGAAACUGCUCGACUUGAGUGCAGAAGAGGAAAGCGGAAUUCCACGUGUAGCGGUGAAAUGCGUAGAGAUGUGGAGGAACACCAGUGGCGAAGGCGGCUUUCUGGUCUGUAACUGACGCUGAGGCGCGAAAGCGUGGGGAGCAAACA